rnacentral:rRNA from 1 species
UACGGGGGGGGCUAGCGUUGUUCGGAAUUACUGGGCGUAAAGGGCGCGUAGGCGGUUCUGUAAGUCCCGCGUGAAAUCCCCCGGCUCAACUGGGGAAGUGCACCCGAAACUGAGUGGCUUGAGUGCGAAAGAGGGUCGCGGAAUUCCCGGUGUAGAGGUGAAAUUCGUAGAUAUCGGGAGGAACACCGGUGGCGAAGGCGGGUCUCUGGGCCGAUACUGACGCUGAGGAGCGAAAGCGUGGGGAGCGAACAGG